rnacentral:rRNA from 1 species
UACGUAGGGUGCGAGCGUUAAUCGGAAUUACUGGGCGUAAAGCGUGCGCAGGCGGUUUUGUAAGCCAGAUGUGAAAUCCCCGGGCUUAACCUGGGAACUGCAUUUGGGACUGCAAGGCUUGAGUACGGCAGAGGGGGGUAGAAUUCCUGGUGUAGCAGUGAAAUGCGUAGAUAUCUGGAGGAACACCGGUGGCGAAGGCGGCAUCCUGGACCGAUACUGACGCUGAGGCGCGAAAGCCAGGGGAGCAAAGCAGG